GAUGAACGCUGGCGGCGUGCUUAACACAUGCAAGUCGAACGGUGAAGCAGGAGCUUGCUCUUGUGGAUCAGUGGCGAACGGGUGAGUAACACGUGAGCAACCUGCCCCUGACUCUGGGAUAAGCGCUGGAAACGGCGUCUAAUACUGGAUAUGUGAUGUGACCGCAUGGUCUGCAUCUGGAAAGAAUUUCGGUUGGGGAUGGGCUCGCGGCCUAUCAGCUUGUUGGUGAGGUAAUGGCUCACCAAGGCGUCGACGGGUAGCCGGCCUGAGAGGGUGACCGGCCACACUGGGACUGAGACACGGCCCAGACUCCUACGGGAGGCAGCAGUGGGGAAUAUUGCACAAUGGGCGGAAGCCUGAUGCAGCAACGCCGCGUGAGGGAUGACGGCCUUCGGGUUGUAAACCUCUUUUAGCAGGGAAGAAGCGAAAGUGACGGUACCUAACCAGAAAGCCACGGCUAACUACGUGCCAGCCGCCGCCGUAA
rnacentral:rRNA from 1 species